AAAGACAUUAUAAUAAAACAUAAAAAAACAUAUGAGAUGAGAGAUUAGAGAAGAUGAAAAAAAGAACAUAAGAGAUGCGAGAUUGAGAAGAAAAGUGCAAUAAAAACAUAAUUGGAAGAGAAAAUAGUAACAUAAAAGAUAAAAAAGAAAGAACAUAAUAGAGGACUUAUUAGAGUAGAAUAGGCGUGACCUACAUGAAAAAGAAGAUGAGAAGAAUGUGUGAUACUACUAUGAGAGAUUUAAGAAGGUUGAAAUUGAAACCCUAAGUGUGAUUAAGAGAAAAUUGUUUGUAAUUGUAAGGUUAAGGCAUACUAGGUUUGAG
rnacentral:lncRNA from 1 species